rnacentral:lncRNA from 1 species
GUGGGACUUCCCUGUUUCCAUAAUUGGGAGAGAAUUUGGACACAGGCAUGCAUACGGGGAGAACAUCGUGCAUACAGGGAGAACAUCAUGCAUAUGUGAAGACAGCCAUUUACCAGUCGGGGAAAGUAGCCUGGAACAGAGUUUCUCUUCGGAGCACUCAGAGGCAACCCUGUCAAUAUCUCGAUUUCAGACUUCUGGCCUCUAAAACUCUGAGACAAUAAAUUUCUGUUGUUU